AGCGAACGCUGGCGGCAGGCCUAACACAUGCAAGUCGAACGGACCCUUCGGGUUUAGUGGCGGACGGGUGAGUAACACGUGGGAACGUGCCUUUAGGUUCGGGAUAGCUCCUGGAAACGGGUGGUAAUGCCGAAUGUGCCCUUCGGGGGAAAGAUUUAUCGCCUUUAGAGCGGCCCGCGUCUGAUUAGCUUGUUGGUGGGGUAAUGGCCCACCAAGGCUACGAUCAGUAGCUGGUCUGAGAGGAUGACCAGCCACAUUUGGACUGAGACACGGCCCAAACUCCUACGGGAGGCAGCAGUGGGGAAUCUUGCGCAAUGGGCGAAAGCCUGACGCAGCCAUGCCGCGUGUAUGAUGAAGGUCUUGGGAUUGUAAAAUACUUUCACCGGUGAAGAUAAUGACUGUAGCCGGAGAAGAAGCCCGGCUAACUUCGUGCCAGCAGCCGCGGUAAUACGAAGGGGGCUAGCGUUGCUCGGAAUUACUGGGUGUAAAGGGAGCGUAGGCGGACAUUUAAGUCGA
rnacentral:rRNA from 1 species